CACGUAGGGACCAAGCGUUGUCCGGAUUCAUUGGGCGUCAAGAGCUCGUAGGCGGUUCAGUAAGUCGGGUGUGAAACCUCCAGGCUCAACCUGGAGACGCCACCCGAUACUGCUGUGACUAGAGUCCAGUAGGGGAGCGUGGAAUUCCUGGUGUAGCGGUGAAAUGCGCAGAUAUCAGGAGGAACACCAGCGGCGAAGGCGGCGCUCUGGGCUGGAACUGACGCUGAGGAGCGAAAGCGUGGGGAGCGAACAGG
rnacentral:rRNA from 1 species